UUUAGGGUAGAGAAAGAUGCCUGCUUCUAAAUUAAAACACUUUCCACUUCUCUCACCCAGUGUCUUUAAAUCACUCAGGCGUUAUUAUUCUCUUUACCUUGAUGUCAAAUCUUGGAAAGACAGAAAUUAAAGAUGUGGAGUUUGAGGAAAAGAGGGGGUGAGCAAAAUAAAGUAGAACAAGCUGCACAGUGUUCAUUGGCAGAAAAUUUAAAAUGCAGGAUGUAAUGCUGAAGGCUUUUCUUUUCCAUUUUGAGCUUCUAUCCACUUUUUAAAAAUUUAGCCUCUGAUUGUUUUAGCCAUGUGAAUGCUCACGUAGCAAGGAUCCUACAGUACCUGGGACUCAGACACAUGCUUUCUUUCCCCCAGGAUGUCUGAGUCUUAUCCAAACUCUUCCUGUACCUUCACACAGACCAAAGGAGAACGGUUAAUAACUGUUGUAUCUGACCAUAGCAUGUUAAAGUCUGAAAUCCAUAGUAAGAAGAUCAAAAGAAUGCAAUAGAUAGUAGACUGUGAUACAGCUUGGGAGCAUAGGUGCCAAAACAUUGCUCAAUGCAAUUCCCCCAGAAAGUCACACAACAUGUAUCCUAACACAGGACGAUAGUAGUCCAAAACCAGUAACCACAAAGUAUUCGUCCAACCUCGAGCUAGUUUCUGUAAUCCCAAGAGUGCGGGAGACAGAAGGAAGCUCUCGAGCCCUCACAUUCGCCAUUGCAAGAUGGCGCUGACAUCCUGUGUUCUAAGUGGUAAACAAAUAAUCUGCGCAUGUGCCAAGGGUAGUUCUCCACUCCAUGUGCUCUGCCUUCCCCAUGACGACAACUCGGCCGAUGGGCUGCAGCCAAUCAGGGAGUGACACGUCCUAGGCAGAGGAUAAUUCUCCUUAAAAGGGACGGGGUUUCGCCAUUCUCUCUCUUGCUCUCUUGCUCCUGAAGAUGUAAGCAAUAAAGCUUUUGCUGCAGAAGAUUCCGGUUUGUUGCGUUCUUCCUGGCCGGUGGCGAGAACGCGUGUAAGACACACUGUGUGCAAUUUUUAACACCAUUUCAAUGUGAAAAUUUAAGAUAGACUGGGAAGACACGCUAGCAGAAGAGUACCUGAAUAAGAGAUUCAAUCUCUAAUACUUAAAAGGGAAUACUGAGAACCUCGGUCAGUGUGGGCGAGAGGUGAAUGUUUGUUCACAUUUUCCUCAGCAGAGACUAAAGAUCACAUUACUUCAAUCACUGAUAUUGCUUUCUGUAGUUUUAUAAGGAGACAUAUUUACCUUCUUUCUCCAUUUACUAUAAAAACAUAACAACUUCAGUUUCAUACCAACUCAUUUUUCCCACAUCCUUUUCCUAUCCCAUGUAUUUUUGUUAUAAGACAUUUUUUUUCUCUCAAGUCCAGCACAAUUGUCCUGCCUUUUUCCCCUCUAUUCAGGAAAUCUUUCUCCAGGAAAGAUUUACUUCCUUGUUUUCAUUUUACUAUUCUUGUACCCUGUUUAAGAGAAACAGAUGAAAUCAUAUAGUAUAUAUAUAUUUAACCUUUACAUAUUUCUAGUAUUCAAUCUACUGGAAACUGAUUUUUACUGAAAACCUUUGAUUGACAUUGUACCAAAUAUUAAUUUGUUUGACAACUAAUUUGGUUGUUUGGGAGGUAAAAGAAAAGAAUACUGCAAACAAGGAUUUAGAUCUCAAUCUCUGCCUCUACCUCUAACUUUCCUCUCUUUUCCCACCUCUCUUUCCUUAUAGGAAGAAAUUGAGUUCCCAGGAGAAUAAUAGUAAGCAGAAUGAACUUGACAGGAAUCAGACCAGCAUUCAGUAACUCCAAUGUGUUACUAAUUCCACCUUAUUUAAAACUUUGCAAACAAAGAUCAUGCAGUAUUAUUUUUUAAGACAAGGCAAGUUAUUCAUUGCCAUUUUUUGUUGGAUGGUAGCUGUCUAAAUAUUAUGUUAGUACCAGAUCCUAAGAACUUUUGAUGGGGAUAGAGCUUACAGUUAUUAAUAAGAAUCGCUGGGCAGUGGUGGUGCACGCCUAUAAUCCCAGGACUUGCGAGGCAGAGGCAAACAGAUUUCUGAGCUCGAGGACAGCCUGGUCUACAGAGUGAGUUCCAGGACAGCCAGGGCUACAGAGAAACCCUGUUUCAAAAAAACAAAAGAAAAACAAAAACAAUUUAAAAAAAAAAACAAAU
rnacentral:lncRNA from 1 species